rnacentral:misc_RNA from 1 species
AACGCACCUUGCGCUCUCUGGUAUUCCGGGGAGCACGCCUGUUCGAGUGUCAUUAAAACUCUCAAAUAAAGAUGGCUUUUCAGCCAUCUCUGUUUGGAUUUGGGCUUUGCUGCAUUAGUGUGGCUAGUCUUAAAUGUAUUAGCUGAUCCUCAUUGGGGGGUUUUUGGUUCUACUCAGCGUGAUAACUAUCUAACGUUGAGGACAGUCUCAGAACUGGCCAUAGCUCUCUCUCUGGAUUGCUUCUAAAUUGUCUUGAUGGCAAUUGCUUAAUUUCUGACCUCGAAUCAGGUGGGACUACCCGCUGAACUUAA